rnacentral:ncRNA from 1 species
GAUUUCCGCCCAGUGCUCUGAAUGUCAACGUGAAGAAAUUCAAGCAAGCGCGGGUAACCGGCAAGAGUAAAUAUGACUAUUUUCAGCACAUUUUAGGGAU